rnacentral:rRNA from 1 species
UACGUAGGGGGCACGCGUUGUCCGGAAUCAUUGGGCGUAAAGCGCGCGUAGGCGGCCCUGUAAGUCCGUUGUGAAAGUCAAAGGCUCAACCUUUGAAAGCCGAUGGAUACUGCAGGGCUAGAGUCCGGAAGAGGCGAGUGGAAUUCCUGGUGUAGCGGUGGAAUGCGCAGAUAUCAGGAAGAACACCAACGGCGAAGGCAGCUCGCUGGGACGGAACUGACGCUAAGGCGCGAAAGCGUGGGGAGCGAACAGG